rnacentral:rRNA from 1 species
UACGGAGGGUGCGAGCGUUGUCCGGAAUCACUGGGCGUAAAGGGCGCGUAGGCGGCCUGAUAAGUAGGGGGUGAAAUCCUGCGGCUUAACCGCAGGGCUGCCUUCUAAACUGUCAGGCUUGAGCACAGUAGAGGCAGGUGGAAUUCCCGGUGUAGCGGUGGAAUGCGUAGAGAUCGGGAAGAACAUCAGUGGCGAAGGCGGCCUGCUGGGCUGUUGCUGACGCUCAUGUGCGAAAGCGUGGGGAGCAAACAGG